UACGUAGGGUCCGAGCGUUAAUCGGAAUUACUGGGCGUAAAGCGUGCGCAGGCGGUCUUGUAAGCCAGAUGUGAAAGCCCCGGGCUCAACCUGGGAACUGCAUUUGGGACUGCAAGGCUGGAGUACGGCAGAGGGAGGUGGAAUUCCACGUGUAGCAGUGAAAUGCGUAGAUAUCGGAAGGAACACCAGUGGCGAAAGCGGCUUCCUGGUCCAGCACCGACGUUCAGGCACGAAAGCGUGGGGAGCAAACAGG
rnacentral:rRNA from 1 species